rnacentral:rRNA from 1 species
GACGAACGCUGGCGGCGUGCCUAAUACAUGCAAGUUGAGCGCUGAAGGUUGGUACUUGUACCAACUGGAUGAGCAGCGAACGGGUGAGUAACGCGUGGGGAAUCUGCCUUUGAGCGGGGGACAACAUUUGGAAACGAAUGCUAAUACCGCAUAAAAACUUUAAACACAAGUUUUAAGUUUGAAAGAUGCAAUUGCAUCACUCAAAGAUGAUCCCGCGUUGUAUUAGCUAGUUGGUGAGGUAAAGGCUCACCCAGGCGAUGAUACAUAGCCGACCUGAGAGGGUGAUCGGCCACAAUGGGACUGAGACACGGCCCAAACUCCUACGGGAGGCAGCAGUAGGGAAUCUUCGGAAAUGGACGAAAGUCUGACCGAGCAACGCCGCGUGAGUGAAGAAGGUUUUCGGAUCGUAAAACUCUGUUGGUAGAGAAGAACGUUGGUGAGAGUGGAAAGCUCAUCAAGUGACGGUAACUACACAGAAAGGGACGGCUAACUACGUG